CCUUUGGGGCUGCUUCUCUGGGCUUCCUCUGCAGCUACUUGCAUGCUGGGAUCCUAGCUCCCCAAGUGUGAUCAACACCUUUAUUGGAAUUCACUGUAGUUGUCAUCGACCCUCCUGAAGUGUGGAGACCAGAACUGGAAACAUGCUCUGUGUAUAGACCAACAAAUGCCAAGUUGAAAGCUACAUUAUUCUGGUGACUCGAUGAAUCUGCAGUGAGAGCUUUUUCCCACCAACUACUGUUCAAGCAACCGUCCCCCUCCUAUAGGGUACUUGCACAGUGGAUUCUUUGGAAUCACGUAAACCCUUACACUAUGCUGGUUAAAUGUCAUCUUCUGGAUCCCGUCCACCCAUCUAGUCUUGAAAGCGUUGUUAAGUGUGGCUUCCACUGCACAAAACUCUGAUUUUGCCACCGAGGCAGCUGCGGAUUUUAUGAUCAGGCCUUCUGCGGUUCUAAAUCCAAAUUGUGAAAAUGGUGAUCAAUGCAACUACCACUAGAGACUC